AUAAUAUAUAAAAAAAAAAAAAAAAGAAUAACAACAACAACAAAUCAAAUAGUAAAAAAAAAAGUAAAAUUUAGAAAUUUGCUCUGUGAUUUUCUAUCAGAAUGGUUUAUUAAUAAUCCAAAUAAAUUUAAUAAUAAUUAUAAUAAAUACAAAAUAUUAUAUUUAUAAAUAUUGCCUAAUUGCAUUCAAAACCAAAUGUUAUUUAAAUAUAUAUACAUAAAGAGAGAAGCUUUAAAAAUUCCCAAAACCAAAACAAAACCAACAAGAAAUUCUACAAAGUCGUAAAGUAAUUCAUUUAUUAUAGCAGCGAUUUGCUAACUAAAUUAGUGCAACUAAUAUUUAGUUUUUAUGUGCGAAACCAACAAAACAAGCGCAUAAUAACAUAAAGAACCAGUUCGGGAACCAGUGCCAGCAGAACGCCAUGGACGAAAUGCCAGAUUUAUCGCAUUUGACGCCGCACGAGCGCAUGCAAAUUGAAAAUGUGCUCAUGCGGCAGAAGCAGGAGGAGGAGAAGCAAAAUGAGAUAAUGCGACGCAAACAGGACGAAGUCGUUACGCUGGAGAUGCAAAUCAGACAGCGAUCCGAGCAGCAAAAGAAGGCCGGCGUCGAGCUGGAUGCCACCUGUCACAUAUGCCUUAAGACCAAGUUUGCCGAUGGCGUUGGCCACAUUUGCCAUUAUUGCAACAUACGCUGCUGCGCCCGCUGCGGCGGCAAAGUAACCCUGCGCAGCAACAAGGUGAUCUGGGUGUGUAUCCUGUGCCGCAAGAAGCAGGAGCUGCUCUCCAAAACGGGCCAGUGGAUAAACAAGACGGCGGUGCAGCAAGAUGGUUUCAUACGGCGCAUCGAACCCGACGGCAGCAGCGACAUCUCGCAGCAGGCCAUUGUCGAUCCACGCGAUUCGGCGGACAAGCGACCGAAGCUGGAGCGCACGCGCAGCGCUGCCGAGAAGGAGAACCUGCCCAUGCAGCGGGCUGGCAGCAUGCUGCGUCGCCAAUAUUCGCAGCAGGAGCAGCCAACGAAUCGUCGCCUGUCCGUCUCCGACAGCGGCAUGGAGCCGCUGAGUCCUGGGCAGCAGCAGAUGCAGCAGCAGCAGCUGCCGCAGCGCCAGCGCAUGCAGCCCAUGAAUCCGCAGCAGGCGCAGCAAUAUCAACUCCAGCAGCAACAACUACAGCAGCAGCAGCAACAACAACUGGGCUACGGACAGCAGCAGCAUCCACAGAGAUCGGGCGCCUAUCCAGAGGAUGAUCCGCGUUACUAUCAGGGCGAGCUGGAUGGUCUGAUGCGACAACAUCCUCACCUGGCACAUCCCAGCCAGGUGCAGCAGCAGCCACAGCAGCAACAGCAACAGCAGCCGCAACAGCAACAACCACAGCAACAUUUAAUACCGCAGCAGCAGCGAUUCAAUGCACGCCAGCAACAUAUGCAACAGCAGCAGCAGCAGCAGCAUCAGCAGCAGCAACAGCAACAGCAGCCACAGCAGCAGCAACAGCAGCGAAUGCUACAACAGCAGCAACCGUAUCAAGGAUCCUCGACACAUGCGCAGAUUCAUUCGCAGCCAGCGCAACUGGGUGGGGGCAGUGGCUACCAGAAGGCGCCACCGCUGACGCGCAACCUGACGAUCAGUGGGGGCCACGCCAUGGAUGCCACCACCUACAAUCAGCAGCAGCAGCAGCAACAGCAGCGGCGCUCCUUGGCUGGCGCACAGUACGCCUCACAGCAGCAGCGAUCCUUCAGUAGCUCCGAGGAGGAGUUCCAGAGCCAUCUAAUGGCCGCGCAGGCGCAGGCGCAAGUGCAAGGACAUACCGUUACAGCUGGCAGCGACUACGAUGGCGGGCGUCUCCAAGUGCGCACGGAUCCUUGGCGACAGCAGCGCAGCCUCAACGAGCGCGAUCUACUGACAGUAGGCUCGAGUGACUAUCGGCUGCUGGGCCACACGAAUCAGCGGCUGUACGCCUCGGCGGAUCAGCGGGAUCGGUAUGAGCUGCAGCUGCAGCAUCGCGAGCGCCUGGAACAGUAUCCGCUGACGAGGACCGCUCGACUGGACGUGCAGCAGCGCAACUCGCUCAAUCGCAGCAAUCACGAGCGAGCGGCUGGAGCUGGUGGGGCUGGUGGUGCAGGUGGAGCAACUGGUGCUGCCUUUCGUCGGGCACCGCCCUUGGCCGCAGCCAGCGGCUGCGCUGGUGGCAGCAGCAGCAGCAGCACCAGCAGCAGCUACUAUCCACAGAGCUACAGCAAGCCGCAGAUUGUCAUUGGAUCAGGCUCUGUCUAUGAGCGUGGCGCGAUGUCGGCAGCUGCUGACGGCGUGCGAGGCAGCCUGAGCCGAGAGCGCGGCCUGCUUGGCGCUGGUGGUGGUGGCGGCGGUGGCGGCAGCAGCUCCCUCAGCUCCACGGAGGCCGCCUACUGGGAUGAGCCAGCCACCAGUGGUGGUGGCGGCGGCGGUAGCACAUCAUCGUCGUCGGCGGCGCAGGACUCGCGCCGCUUCACCGAGCGCAGAAUAAAGAAAACGGUGCGUUUCGAUGCGCACGAUGACGAGUCGUCGCUCCUGGUGGCCCCGGGCACAGGCAGUGGCUCCUUGCCACCAGUCACCGCCAUACUGCCCUCGACGGCUGUGGAUGUGGGCACGGCGACUCUGCUGACCAGCGCGAAGCUGGCGCAGCCGCUAGACGGCGACUGGUCGCGCUGGGAAUCCGAGCGGCAGGGCAGCCAGGACUCGGCCACUAAAGACUCGGGCAUUGAUACGAGCAGCACCUUUACCAGCAGCGAGGACUCGAACCGCGGCGACGGCCCCAAGAAUCCGGUGAAUUGGCAAACAUCCGCGGAUAAUACUCGCAUGAUUGGUCACAUGAUAUUACGUAAAUACUAUGAUGGGGAAGAUAUAUUAGGCUUAAAGGUGAACGGCGGCCAGCCCGUGGGUCUCGGAGGCCCAUGCAGAGCCAUUGUGGAGAAGGUGAAACGCGGUUCGGUGGCCGACGUCGAAGGCUGUAUACGACCAGGCGACGAGAUCAUCGAGUGGAACGGACGCAGCCUGCACAACAAGAGCGCGGACGAGGUCUACGACAUCAUCGACGAGAGUCGUCUGGAUGCACAGGUGGAAUUGAUUGUGGGUCGAUCGCUGCUGCUGCCAUCCAGUGGCGCCGGCAGCGUCGACAGCGGCAGCAGCAGCAACGUCAGCCCCAGCAGCGCAUGCUCUGGCUCGGGCAGCAGCGUCACCCGGCGCUCCUCGGCCAACUUUCCGCACAGUGGGCUGGCGAGCAGCAUGGCAGCCAGCGCAGUGGUCAGCAGCGGAGGGCGUUACCUGCAGCGUAAAGCACCCGGCGUUGAGGCUCUAGAGCUGCACCGCGAUAAGCCGAGCGUGCUGAUCACCUCGCCCGGCUCUCCGGAUCUCCACACCGGCGGCUCGAACAACGGACUGCGUCAUCGUGGCGCUGGCAUUGGCAGCUGCUCGCAGCAGUCGCAGCGCUUGGAGGCCAGCAGCCAUAACCACAGCCACAGCCAUAGCCAUAGCCACAGCUACAGCAGCCACAGCCACAGCAGCAGCGGCAGCGGCAGUAACAGCGGCAGCAGCAGCAACAGCAGCGCCACCGUCGCCGCCUCGGGCGGCGUGCACAGCGCAACGACGGCGGGCCACCAUCAUCAUUGUCACCCAACAGCGGCAUCACCGCCAUCGCACGCGCACGCGCUUCCGCAUCCGCAUCCCCACCCGCACUCGCACUCGCACUCACACGCCCACGCCCACUCGCACCAUGGGCAUGGCAUGGGCGUGACAACACAGCCGAUUCCCAUCGAGGGCCGGCUGCAGCUGAAGCUCGGCUACGAUCAGACCACUCUGCAGCUGAUCGUGACGCUGGUUUGCGCCACGGGCCUGUCGCUGCGUCAAAGCGGCGCCGGGCGCAAUCCCUAUGCGAAGGUGUUCCUGCUGCCCGAUCGCAGCCAGAAGUCCAAACGACGCACGAAAACCGUUGGCACCACCUGCGAACCGAGGUGGGGUCAAACGUUUUUCUACUCCGGUCUGCGCCGCAGCGAUCUCAAUGGUCGCCAGCUUGAGGUCACGCUGUGGGAUUAUGUGCGCUAUGGGGCCAACGACUUUAUUGGCGAGGUGGUCAUUGACUUGGCUCAUCAUGUACUGGACGACGAAGCCGAGUGGUACCAGCUGCAACCGCAUCAGGAUAGCUCCCAUCUCUUACGUGACGAGGGCAGCGAUGUGGAGUGUCUGAUUCUGACACCGACAGAUCAUUUAUCACCGCCCAGCACGAUGUCGCGUCUAAGCGACUCGGACACGACGUCCGAGUGCGACAUCGAUGGAACGACGCCCGGUGCCAGCAUCUCAUCGAUGGGCAGCUCUGCCAGCCCGCCGCUGUUCGAGCUCGAUCUAAACGAGCGUCGAUCCAGACGUGACAUGUCGCCCCAGGGCCGCAAACGGGUGGCCGGGAUGAUGGCCAGAGAUUAUCGCACAGUAUCUGGCAUUGGACAAAGUUAUCACAAUCAGAGUUCUGCAACUACUGCGGGUUACUACCGACGAGGCGGUGCCAAUGGUGUCGGCUCCGCCAUCGGACCUGGUGGCAUGAGCCUGAGCCAGCGCAGCCACUCGGCAGCUCCCAGCGACAACUAUCACGGCCAUCAAGGACAUCCGGGCACAGGCUACGGCUACAGAAGCAGCAGUCCGCGGCGAGGAUCGCUAUCGCCGCCCGACGAUCGUUACAUUGACUAUCCAGUGCUUCCAAUUCACGGCUCACCCAACGCCGCGGCCUACGGCGGCGGAGGCAGCGGUGCUUCGGCGGCGGCACAGACACCACAGCAGCAGCGUUUCCAGUCUCGUUCUGCCACUGCCACGCCUACGGGAUCGCCCAAGAAGCGACAACUGCCACAGGUGCCACAAACCUCUCGCAGCGCCAUGUUGCGCGAUCGAUUGGGUCAGGACUUUGACGAGCGGCUGGCAUCGGGCAGCCGCUUUGGCCGCCAUCGCACACGGCAGCCGCACCAUCAGGCGACAUAUCGCAGCACCGGCAUGGGUGGCUGGGAGCGCCACUACACAGGACUUUCGGAUAGUGAUCUGCAGUCGAUGGACACGCGGAUGCGGCCAAGGCAUUCGCUGUCGCCGGACAAGGACUUCAUGGGCGAGUUUGGUGACUCGGACAUGGAGUCGGUGGUCAGUGUGACGUCGAGUGCGUUUUCCACUCAGUCGGAGCGUCCGCGCACCUCGCGCGGCCUCAGCUUUCCACGCAACUGGCGCAACCUCUUCGGCGCCCAAAGUAGCAUAUUGGGCGGUGCCGUUGGCGGCCCUGUGACCGGCCUUAAGGUCUAUCCCGUUGAGCACCACCGCGCGAACACCAUCGAGGUGGACGACUGCGACUAUCUCUCCAGUGGUGGCGGGGCUCAUCAGCUCCUGCUGCUGGAGCAGCUCGAGCAACUGCAGCAGCUAGCCGCCUUGGCUGCCGCCGACUCGCCGCCCAACACCGCCGCAUUGGGUGGGUUCAGCGGUGCCGCAUCUGCAGUCCCGCCACCACCCACAACUAUACCACUGCCAAUGACCGCACCACAGCAAGUACUCGUAACGGACACAAACAGCGGCGAACUGAUCGAGCAGUUCUUCGUGGAGCCGGCCCUGAUGGCGGAGGAGACGCCGCUUAACCUCGAGCCACACGAGCCCCAUUUGCUUACGCAUAGCGUUUACUAUUCACCUCAUUUGCCCAACACAUUCAUACAGCCGCCGCUUGACUUGUACCAACGACGCCACAACGGACGCCAGCUCGACCACGCCCCCACCAUCGCCACCGCCACCGCCACCGCCAACGCAACCACUCAUGCGAAUCACACCUAUGCGCUGCCCGGCUUUGAGCAAUUCAAGCGCUAUACCACGCCCGUCAUGAAUCUCUUUCGCAGCUCCACAACAGCACCGCCAGCGUCUGCCCAUGACCACGCCCACACGGUCUCCUCCUCGCCCAGCUCCUACGUGGGCUACGUACGCGAUCACCUGGACAAGAGCUGCAGCCACUGCCAGAACGGUAGCCAGCCGGUAGUGCUAUCCACAAACACAGCCCUGGCGACGCCCGGCCUGGCUAUUGGCGCCUGCACCGAUCCCUGUUGCCUGGCCGAUGCACAUCCCCAUCCGCAGCAUAAGCCCAUUGCAUAUCCCUAUAGCGCGGAGCAGCUGCUGCGUCGCCCCUCCCUCUCCAUGUAUCAGCCGGCAAGCACCUCAGAGCCCUCGCUGCCCACCAUGGACCCGGAUCCCAUGUGCGGCGAGUGCGUUGACCAGCAUUUCCUGGGCGGCCUGAUUGGGCCGCAGCUCAAUCUGGGCGUGGUGCCCACCUACCAUGUGCACACGCCAACAGCGACAGCUCAUCGGCGAGCGAACUCGCAGCUGGCACCGCCUCCACCACUGCCCACGCAAUCCGUGCUGCGACUCUCGCGACAGCUUAGCGAGGAUGCCCUAGUCUCGGCGGUGCCCAUAGCGGAGGCGACGGCACGGGCUCAACCCACAUCGAUUCUGAAGAAGCCCAAGCUGGACCGACGUCGCAUGUUUCACGAGGGCCAGUCGCGCUCCCUGGACUACGAUGAUUUGCAUACGAAGAGCUGGGGCAGGCGGCGCAUACGUUACGAGGACGAGGUGGCACCACAUGAGCUGAUGCCGCACGCCUAUCACCCCAGUGAGGAGCAGUUGCCCAGCAGUCGCCGAUACGGCUCCGAGACGAACAUACGGCAGUCGUAUAUGGGCGCCAAUGUGGAUGCCGCCAAUCCGCUGAGUCACUCGCAUUUCCUGGUCACCGAUGACAAGAUCGUGACCAUCACCUACGACUCGGAUGUGGGCUGGACCCGACGCGGCGUAGCGCCCUCCCUCUUCCGCGGUCCACACCGUCGCGGCGUCGACGCUCGCAAUCACAUGUCCCUCGACCUGCAGCGCACCAGCCAGCAGAAGCUCUACGGACCCGCUGCGCCCUACAUGAAGCGGCGUCGCAAUCUGCCACAUCCGCCUAGUGCGCAAAACGCACACAAUUUCUCGCCCAUGGAGGCGAUCGGUGGUGGUGUUGGUGGGGGCGGUGCACAGAACAGUGGUACAUACAACAGUAACAAUCACAACAGUAGCCACUACACCAAUCACAAUAGCCACGCAGCGAGUAGUGUUAGUAGUGUUAGUCAAUUUCACAACAACCAACAACAACAACAACAACAACCACAAUCAAUUAGGCAAAAAGGGAAAGAAGGCAUCAUCGCCGUAAACGGAUUGUUGGCAUCGGCAUCGGAACAAUUGACGAAAUCUAGUGGUGGGAGCGGUGGUGCAACAUCUGCCGCAGCUACCGCUGCCGCUACUGGUAAUAUCGUCUGCGAUGGUAAUAAUGCUAAUAAUGCUUCUUCUUCCUCUUUUGCAAAUCCCCCACAACAACAACAACAACAACAACAUCAUGGUGUCGCUAAUCAACCAAUAACAACAACAAACGCAUCACCCAAUAAACGUGCCCCAUCAUCAAUACACAAUACCACUACAACAACAACAACAACAACAACAAACGACGCCAACAACUUGACCCAUGACGCAACAUCAACCAAUCUCACACAACAACAACAACAACAACCACCAAAUACAUGCACAAAUCUCAUCACAAAUGCAACAACAAACACAUCGUCGAUUGAUGCGGCAACAACAACAACAACAACGACGACAACGAUAACAACCGCAACGACUGCUACAACAACUGCCACAAAUACAACUACAACAACAACAACAACAAAUACAAAUAACACGAAUGAACCAAACGCAACAACGACAACAACAAACGCCAAUACGAAUGCUAAUACGGAUGCGGAUGCGGACGCGGAUGCACCUAUCGAUGUUAUCGAUUGGGAUGCAAUCGAUGCGAUGCUCGACGACGAUUUCAGUGAGUACGACAAGGAGAAGAACGGUGCCAACGAGCCGAGUGGAGCCAAGUCAGUCGACGGUGGAGGCGGAACUGAGGAGAAAGCCGAUGGCAGCCUGUCAGACACCACAACGGAUCGAAAAAAAUGCGGCAACGUGGAUCAGGAACGAUCACCCAAAGGCGGCAGCGGGAUGGGUAAAAAAUCCAACUCGACGUCGCAACUGUCGGCAACAGGUCGUAAAAGACGUAUGGGCUUUGGAAAGAAGGGUAAGAACUCGUUCACGGUGCAUCGCAGUGAAGAGGUGCUGCCUGGUGAUAUCACGCGGGAGUUGCGCUCCGGCGGAGGUGCCGGCUGUGUCAGCGGUGGUGCUGGCGGUGCCGGUGGCGGUGGCCUAUCCCGUGGUUCGUCCUCGGAGGCGGACCCCAUUGAGCAGUUUUUCGGCGAUGGCGCUGGUGGGGAAAGAUUUUCACCAUCAUUACGCAAUGAUGGAGCCCUGAAUGAGUUCGUGGAUGGCCUCGGCCCGGGUCAAUUGGUUGGUCGUCAGGUGCUGGGCGCCCCCUCACUAGGUGACAUACAGCUGUCGCUGUGCCAUCAGAAGGGCUUUCUCGAGGUUGAGGUGAUACGAGCCAGGGGCUUGCAGCAAAAGCCGUCGUCGAAGAUGUUGCCCGCGCCCUAUGUGAAAGUUUAUCUGGUGUCGGGCAAGCGGUGCAUUGACAAGAUGAAAACCUCAACGGCUCGUCGCACGCUGGAUCCGCUCUAUCAGCAGCAAUUGGUAUUCAAGCAGUCGUACAGCGGUUGCGUAUUGCAGGUGACCGUUUGGGGCGACUACGGCCGGAUUGAAAAGAAAGUGUUUAUGGGUGUGGCGCAGAUAAUGCUCGACGAUCUGAAUCUCUCGAAUAUCGUUAUCGGCUGGUACAAGCUCUUCGGCACCACCUCACUGGGUCGUCCGAUUGUUUGGGCCGGUGAAUCAAUAAUGGAGGAGCAGGGUGAAUAACACUUUCCAGCUACAGUGAAAACACUUUAAAGCACCAAGCACAAACAAAUUUCCAAACUUGCAAACUGAACUGAAUUUAACCCUUGCAAAGAGCUGCCAGCCAGGCAGCCAAAUAGCAAAGGACCAAGGUCAGCCUGCAGGACCUGCUACGCUUUGUUGGGAGAGGAAAAGGAGGCGGAACACCCCGGAUGAGCGUCUGGAGCUGUCGCCCGAUACUCCCAUUCGGCAUGUUGCUGGCCUAAUCUAUGUCCAAUUUGUAUGUAAUUUUUGAUUUGUAUUUUUGAUUUCUUACUCUUAUUAUCGAUCGGAAGAUAUCCUUAGGAGUGUAAGGAUCUAGGUAAUUUUGUAAGUCAUGAAAACAAAUGCAUUUAAACCCAUACCCGAUAACACAAGCAGUGCAGUAAAUGAUUAAACUUAAUAACUAUGAAAUUCGAGAUAUAUAAUAUUUAAAUAUAAUGCGAUCUACACAAGAGAGAGACGAAUAUAAAAUAUUAAUAAAAAUAUGAAAUGAAAGAGAGUUUGUAAAUGAAUGACAGCGUAUUUGAAGACAUUUUUAUUACACACCUAAGAUCGCUAUUAUUUUCGUAAUACGAUUAUUCUGAUUAUUAUUAUGAAUAAUUAUUAUUAAUAAUAAAUAGAUAUACAAAGAACAAAAAGAAAACAUGCAAGAUACACACAACCAAGAAAAAGUGCUAAUGUCGGUAAUACACCUAAAGCUAAGUCAGUGAGAUAGAAAACAAAAAUAAUAAUAAAUUAAAAAUGAUGAGUAAAUAAAUUAAAAAGUAAAAUAAAAAGGAGUAGGAGGCGGAGAUGGAGAUUUAAGUGCAGAUGCAAGUUGUUUAAUAGAUAAAUCUAAAUCAAUAAAUUAAAGUUAUAGAUUUUCAAGAAAAUAUUUACGAGUAUAUACUAUAUACAAUAUAUGUAUACACAAAUAUAUACAUAUAGAUAUAUAUUUAAAGUUUAAGCAAGCAAAGAACCACUAACACUUAAAUAAGCCUAACUUACGAUAAAUUAAACUUAAAGUUAAUCAGAAAGUAACUAAAUGAGAUAUAUGAUAUAUGAGAUAUGUAUUAAUCCAAACCAAAUACUUAUUAAGCGUGACGAUUGAACAAAUUUAAUUUAGAAAAUGAAAACCAAACACACACACACACACCACUUACACGAAUACACAACAAAUGUUAAUCUUAAGCUGUACAUAGAUAACACUUCAUACACAUACACACACACACAUAUAUAUAUAUAUAUUCAUAUAAUUAUAAAGCCCAUAGAGAGGUGAAUUUGUUAUUAAUGAAUAAUUAUUUUGGCUUCUGCUUAUUUGAUUCAUAUUGUUUUUUGCACAGCUGCAAAAACUUGGCAGCAACCCCAAAAUGCUCAAGUUUUUGCAGCCAGCGCAGAGCUGAUAGAUAACAGACAACUAAGAACAGAGAACAGAUAACAUAUAACGCAUUCGCAUGACAAGAUCUCGCUUCUAUUUGCAUAUAUCUCGCAUAUCCUUUGUCUAAUUCAAGUUGCCCACGUCAGCUAGCGCGAAGUAAGAGAAUAACGCAUCGUACCUUCAACAUAAUAAAUAGUGUGAGCUGUAAAAAUGUUACCUGCUUGCUAAUGAACGGAUAAAGAACACAACACACACACACACAGACAGACACACAAAACACAAGCCUGUAGAGAGAGAACGUUACAAAUGAAAUACAUUCACAUAUAUGCAUGCAUAUUCAUAUGCAUAUUUACGCUUUACUUUGGCGUCUGGUUGCGUUCUCUUGCACAACAUUUUGCAAUGCAUUUGAGGUCCUCAAAUGGUUCAUUUUGAGUAAACAUAUCAGAGGCCUGCGAGGGAACUAGGAUGGGAGCAGUAGAUUUUUAUAUAUACAAAAAUAAUGUACUGUAUUGUUAAACGUUUAUAUGUAUACGCCGAAUAGCUAUUGUAUUGUUCCUAGCAACAGAUCGUAGAUAUAUUGUACUAUAUGUAUCUAAGUACAUUCACUUCAUUCCUCAGAACUCAGUUGGCUAACGAUAUUAAUUUCAACCCGUCCGUCCAUUCAUCAGCUUUUUGCACACAGAUUCAACUACAGAUGCGGAUGCCGUUGCAUGACCAUUGAAACUUUCUAUAUCUACCGCUAAAUAAUAACAAACCAAAUAUAAAUAUGUAAUUAUUGCCAGCAAAUACCAAAUAAACAGGGAAAUGCAUUCAAAAUGUUGCUGCAGAACGUCGGGCUCAACAUCCUGUAGACCAAAUGCAAAGCGCGCUUUAAAGAACUUCAAUACUAUCAGCGAGGUUUCCAGCAAGUAAUUAUACGAUACAGCAUACCGACAUAGCGAUACGUAGACACAUAUACAUAUACAGCUACAAAUACAUAUACAUAUACAUAGACAUAGACUUAGCCAUAUACAUACACAUAGACAUAGACAUACAAGUGCAUACAAACUACUAGCUAAUAGAAUUUCACACUCUGCUCUAAACAUUCACAUACCACAGCGAAGACCUUUCUAGACAAAACUCUACAUUUUAUUUCAUUUGCUCUUCUCCUAUGAAAGACACUUAAAUGCUUUUAAUAAUCAGCCAAUAGCAGCAAGAACAACCAAAAUACAAUAAAUACAAUAAGGUCGGCAAGCAACGACUCUCAAAUGCGCUUACCAAAGACAAUUUGGAGAAGAAUAUAAAAUAAAAUAUAUUUCAUCUAAGUAUAUAUUAAUAAACAAUUUUAACAAUUUGAGCAAAGCAACAACUAUUCUGAAUAGUUUUAUUUGAAGGACGGACUCAAACCAGUUUAUUACUAUAUCUCUAAUAGUAUGUAUCUUUGGCAAGGGCAUUUAUGCUGCAUAGAACAUUAUUCAUAUUCGAACAUCUAUUUAUAAUUCCAACUAUUAAUUCGUUAUAUAGAGAAGUCGCAAAAUGGAACAACAAUACACACAGCUAAACACUCACACACACAAACACUAACACUCAUAUAUAUAUAUAUAUAUAUAUACAUAGAAUUGUUAAUGAAACGCAAGAUAUAUUACGUCAAGUUAUUUAAAGAACAAACCAAAAACAAAAGUGAAACCAAUGUUCUAUUUACUAAGUUCAAACUGAUAAAACAAAUUAAAUACACAACAGCAACAACAACAACAGAAAGA